rnacentral:lncRNA from 1 species
GGCGGGCACCCGGAGGCGGCCCAGGCGGGGGUCUCCCCCGGGGCCUGGGGCGGGCCGAAGAUGUCCAGGCCUGGCCGGAGCCGCCUCCUGAUUGACGAGGCCCGCAUGGGAGUGCGGACGUGCAGCACAGAUUUGCGGGUCUCCUGGGCCUCUUGGGCGGUGAUCAGCGCGGACCUUGGGCCAACCGGGGAAGCAGGCCGGAGCACUACCCCCCACCCCCAUUUUAGAACAUCCUUCUGAGGGCUUCGCUGACCUCGGCUUGAACUCCUUCAGAGCCGGAGAGAUCACUCCUUCCACCACCGAGGGAGAGGAGGCAAAAUGAAUUUGCCAGCUUUGAAUUCAUUCUCAAGGCUCCGCUAGUCUCACAGCCAGUGAACUCAGUCUGGAAUUCCUGAAAGCUCAGAAAACUGCUGCUUAGGUGGCAGCUGAGCAUCCCUGGAGAGGGUGGGUGGUAUGAAAGCACUUCCAGACCUCUAGGGACACCAGGGAGUCAUGGUCCCAGCACAUUGCUGUGUGAUUGAGCCCCUCCUCAGCCUGUGGGUGGCCUAAGUUCACAGGGAGGUAAUGGGGUAGAUUGGAUACCUCUGGGGUCUUGGAAGAAGCUAUGACUUAUUUACUGUCUACUAUGUGAGUUUUGGGCAUCCUUCUAUCAGCCCUUAUCCCAGGGCAGGAAGAACAGCCUUGAUCCUGGAUCCCAGGCACAGCUGGGUGUCAGACCUGGAGGAGAAGCUCCCAGAGUGACCAAGAUAGAAUCGGCAUGCAGCUGAAGCCACUUGCUCAGAGCCGCACAGCAAGCCCACCACCCUGAACCUCCAGAUUACCAACUCAGCAUUGUGUCCUGACAGUGUCAUCAUAGAUGGUCAACACCGUCACCUGGGCAGCACUGAAGCCCAGAGCGGGAGAGACUGGCUCAAGACCAUGGGGCAGGCUCGACCCAGCUAAGGAACACAGCUUCCUGAAGCAUCUGUCCUGGGCCGUUGGCCCUUCUGUGGACAGGGCUUGAGCUCUGUAGGCUGGAUUUGAAUUUCAAGUCCUCCUGCUGUGUGACCUUGAACAAGUUACUUAGCCUCUCUGAGCAUCAAAUGGCUUAACUAUCAAAUAAGAAGCACAGAGAAGUCCCCAAGAGCCAGUAGACUCUGGAGGCUGUGAGACCGGGGACUGGGGCUCCUGCAUCCUUAAUGAAGGUUUCAGUCUUGAGUCGCGUCUGGGAGACCUGCUGAAGCAAUGGGGAGCUACUGUAGAAAAAUAAGGCCACCCACCUCCCACCAGGAGCAAGAGUCAUGGAGGGAGACUGUCUCAGCUGGCCUGGCCUGGCUCCUGCCCAGGACAGAGAUCCCGGCCCCUGGACUCCUCCAGCAGCCCAGUGUAGGGGAGGAGUGCCUUCCUCCCCAUGCCCAGGGUAGCCCCUUGUCUGAGAGUGGUGGUUGUGGCAGGCCCUGCUGAGAACUGCAGUUUCAUUUCCCACUGACCUCCACCCACUGGACUCUCCCAGGCUCUUGUUUCAAGCUGCCUAGUGCUAACCCCAGCCCUUGAGCCAGCUCGCUCCAGCCUUUACCUCAGACCAGGGCACUGGGGCUGUGUGUAGGACUCACACCUCCCAGGUCUGUCUCUUACCUUGGGACCCUUAGGGCAGGAACACGGGAGGGGGGCUCUGAUGUAUGAUGUCAGGGAACUCCGAGGGCCACCUCCUCCUCUGACAAAAGCACCUUCUUUGUCAAGUGAGUAAUUCCUCUGACACAUGUCGCUCUGACAUGGCACAGGUCUUCUUAAAGAUGAACGUCCUCCAUGACCUGUGUGGGUUUCCUGGGAAUAACCCACAGUAGUGGUCAAGGAGGCCAGGAAAGAAGAACUUCUACUGUUUCCCCCUUUUCCAAAUUUGUUGGAUGGAGAUAUAGAGGGUGGGGCCACCUUAUUCUUCAAAAGGAUUUUUAACAGCAGGGAAAAGGAAGGGUUGAGUCUCACAGUCCACACUGCAGCCACCAUAACCAUUUCCCAGACAAGUAAACUAAGGCCCAGGGCGAGAUCCCAGGCUUCCUUACUCAACUUCCAGCCAGGGCAGAGUCUCUCGAACGAAAGAAGGGACGCUGCUGCAUGGCUCACGUGCUCAGCCCUGGUAAUAGAAAUACGUCUCCAGUGAGAUCUAAUUGUAACUCUCAUUGGGACCUGCGUCACCUACAAGGCUGGCAGCCAGACACCC